rnacentral:lncRNA from 1 species
AUUCUACCAACCACUUACUAAACCUUAGAGAACCGCUAUCAGUUUAACCUUACGAUUUUUCAUCCAAGAGUUAUAAAUUUAGUAGUAAAAGGGCCCAAAUACUUUUAGAAGUAUUCUAGCCCAAUUAUACAUUACAUAUGUAUAGUCCGGUUGGAUUAUUUCUAAUAGCACCAAACACUUUGUGCUUAAGUUUUCUACUAUUAGAUCUACUCUUUAAUCAAUUCCAGUUUAUUGAUUACGCUAUUCUACCAGUAACCGGCUAAACUCUAGGGAACCACCACUAAACCCUAUAUAGGACCACUAUUAUCCCAAUCCUACAAAUUUUUCAUCAAGGACGACAAGAGUCUCAAUUAUCGUUCACAUAAAAGAAAUUGAAUCCGAGAUAUUGCAAGUUGUUGGAAUUGCUAAAAGACUAUAACGUCACAAUCCUAUAUUAUCUCGAAAAAGCAAAUAUGGUGGUGGACACAUUAAGGGCAUGUUUGUUUCACCGAAAUUAGACUUUGGGUUAAAGUGGACUUUGGGUUGAACUGGAGUUCGGUGAAAACUACUUCUUUUCCGCUGUUUGUUUCGUAGUUAUGGAAGUGAAGUUCUAUCAGUUCUACUGUUUGUUUGGUAUGAAGUGUAUAAUAUAAAACUAUAAUUAAUAUAUAAAUAAUAAAUAUUUUAAUAAAUAAAAAUAAUAUAAUUAUAUUUUUAUAUAAUUAAAAUUUAAUUUAAAACAACUAAAUUAUUUGUUUAUACAUAAAGUAUAGUAAUACAAUAAAAAAAUUAUAAAGUAAAAAAAUAUUAAUACUUAAUUAAUCAAUUUUUAUCAUAUUUUAAAUAUACAAACUAAAUAAGGAAAAUAUUAAAACUUAACUAAUAAAUUUUAUCAUAUUUUAGAUAUAUUAACUGAAUAAAAAAUAAUUAGUAACGUAAUUAAAUAUAUUUAAAUAUAACUAGCUUUAUCUAUUAUAUUAUUUUAUUAUUUUUUUUCACCUCUCUUCACCGUAAUUGACUUCGGCCUACGAUGAGGCGAAGCCAAUUACGCCGUUUGAGAUUAACUCGAGUUUCGACCGUAACUUCUUUACGGCGAACCAAACAACGGAAGUGGUCGUUUAGGGCGAAAACGACUUUUCUUCUCUCCACUUCCACCCGACUUCCACCCAAGCAAACAUGUCCUAA